rnacentral:rRNA from 1 species
UACAGAGGUGGCAAGCGUUGUUCGGAGUUACUGGGCGUAAAGGGCGCGUAGGCGGCCUUCUAAGUCAGACGUGAAAUCCCCCGGCUUAACCUGGGAACUGCGUCUGAUACUGGAAGGCUUGAGUGCGGGAGAGGGAUGUGGAAUUCCAGGUGUAGCGGUGAAAUGCGUAGAUAUCUGGAGGAACACCGGUGGCGAAGGCGGCAUCCUGGACCGACACUGACGCUGAGGCGCGAAGGCCAGGGGAGCAAACGGG